AGCGCCGCCCUCCGUCCGGCUCCUCUCACCCGCUCGGUCCUCCUCUCCGAGUUGGCCUCGGCCGAGAUGAGUCUACACGCCCUCUACAUCCAUGAGCUUCACCAGCAACAAGCCGCCGCCCGCCUCCCUCCGCCGUCUUCGGCCCCGGCAGCAUCCCCUCGGCGUCCCUCCGAAUCGCGCUCACUGGACGUUUGGGAAGAGGAGUCGGACGAGACGACGACGCAGACGAUGACGGCGGCGGCGGCGGAGAAGAGCUAGCGAGCAGCGGUCCUCGCUCCUUCC